rnacentral:lncRNA from 1 species
CGCAGCAGGGCCCGGGGCCGCCCGCGGCUCCCGCGCCCUCGCUCUCAGACCGCUGACAGAAACGUGCCGUAUCCCAGGUUCCCCCCCCCCCCAAAUUGUGACUGAAACGUGCCCCCGUUCAGGGUUUUUUUCCCCCUCAAACUAACUCGGCCUGUCCUUUAUUCUGGUAGAACCGAGGAGCAGGAUGGUGGAGGAGGACAGGGAGUGACAGCGUCAGGUGCGCUAGGUGCAGACUUGCAAAAGGGUAACCGCUGAUGUGGCUGUGAAGUAGCACUGAGGCACUCCUGCUAUUUUUAGAGAUUCCUCAUUGCUUU